AAGCAACUUGCCCAACCCACCCAAGCCCAAACUGUUUUGGAAGGAUCUUUGCUUGAUUUUGAAGCCCGAAGGGCCAAGUUGAGCCUAAAAUUUAAGCUCACCUAUUAAAUGAGUUGGGCUCAGGUUUACAUCGACUCGGCUCAUGCUCGGCAUGAGCCUGAUAUUUAUAUAAUAUAUAAUAUGACACAAUAUAUAUUCAUAUAGAAUCUAUAUUAUAUAAUAUUAAAUAUUCUUUCAUGUUCUUUCUCAUCUCAUCCUCCCGAUCUCUCUUUCCCCACCUCCCCCUCCUCUCCUCCACCUCC
rnacentral:lncRNA from 1 species